AGGCCCAGGCCCAGCGGCUGGCCUGAGUCUACGCGGUUUGUGGUUCCUCCUUAGGAAGCCAGAUAUGGCACUUUCACUUUAAAGAUAAAGAAAACGAUUUUAAAUGAAAAUAAUUUUUUUUUCCCUUAAGGGGUGUACACUUUUACUUGGGUCACCUUUUGGUCUUCUUUCUUUUAAUAAAGAAACCCAAAAUUGGGAAGAUAAAACCAGCACGUGUAAUGUAAUACAUGACAAUGGAAGAUUCUACGUAAUUAAGGGUUAACUCUGAAAUCAGAAGACAAGUUUUCCAAGACUUGGGAAGGUGGAGAGAUCAGAGAUCAGUGAGAGAACAAAGAAUCGGGCUCAAGAGGACUGGGUUCUGAGAGUUUCCAGAUCGCUGAACAUGUGGUGGUUCCUGAAGGGUGGUGGCCCUGGGGAGGGCAUGGAAGCUCCACGUCCCUUCCCACAUGC
rnacentral:lncRNA from 1 species